rnacentral:rRNA from 1 species
GGUGGAGCGAUUUGUCUGGUUUAUUCCGAUAACGAACGAGACUCUGGCCUACUAAAUAGUGACGGGAUUAUUACUGUCCCGGAUACUUCUUAGAGGGACAAGUGGUUUUCAGCCACACGAAAUUGAGCAAUAACAGGUCUGUGAUGCCCUUAGAUGUCCGGGGCUGCACGCGCGCUACACUGAAGGAAUCAGCGUGCUAAAACCAUUGUCGAAAGGCAUUGGUAAACCCAUUAAAAUCCUACGUGAUUGGGAUCGGGAAUUGCAAUUAUUUCCCUUGAACGAGGAAUUCCCAGUAAGUGUGGGUCAUCAGCUCGCGUUGAAUACGUCCCUGCCCUUUGUAC